rnacentral:rRNA from 1 species
GACGAACGCUGGCGGCGUGCCUAAUACAUGCAAGUAGAACGCUGAAGAGAGGAGCUUGCUCUUCUUGGAUGAGUUGCGAACGGGUGAGUAACGCGUAGGUAACCUGCCUUGUAGCGGGGGAUAACUAUUGGAAACGAUAGCUAAUACCGCAUAACAAUGGAUGACACAUGUCAUUUAUUUGAAAGGGGCAAUUGCUCCACUACAAGAUGGACCUGCGUUGUAUUAGCUAGUAGGUGAGGUAACGGCUCACCUAGGCGACGAUACAUAGCCGACCUGAGAGGGUGAUCGGCCACACUGGGACUGAGACACGGCCCAGACUCCUACGGGAGGCAGCAGUAGGGAAUCUUCGGCAAUGGGGGCAACCCUGACCGAGCAACGCCGCGUGAGUGAAGAAGGUUUUCGGAUCGUAAAGCUCUGUUGUAAGUCAAGAACGAGUGUGAGAGUGGAAAGUUCACACUGUGACGGUAGCUUACCAGAAAGGGACGGCUAACUACGUGCCAGCAGCCGCGGUAAUACGUAGGUCCCGAGCGUUGUCCGGAUUUAUUGGGCGUAAAGCGAGCGCAGGCGGUUUGAUAAGUCUGAAGUUAAAGGCUGUGGCUCAACCAUAGUUCGCUUUGGAAACUGUCAAACUUGAGUGCAGAAGGGGAGAGUGGAAUUCCAUGUGUAGCGGUGAAAUGCGUAGAUAUAUGGAGGAACACCGGUGGCGAAAGCGGCUCUCUGGUCUGUAACUGACGCUGAGGCUCGGAAGCGUGGGGAGCGAACAGG